UACGUAGGGUGCGAGCGUUAAUCGGAAUUACUGGGCGUAAAGCGUGCGCAGGCGGUUCGUUAAGUUCGUUGUGAAAGCCCCGGGCUCAACCUGGGAACUGCAUUCCAAACUGGAUAUCUAGAGUGCGGAAGAGGAGAGUGGAAUUCCUAGUGUAGCGGUGAAAUGCGUAGAGAUUAGGAAGAACACCAGUGGCGAAGGCGACUCUCUGGGACCGUAACUGACGCUGAGGCAUGAAAGCGUGGGGAGCAAACAGG
rnacentral:rRNA from 1 species